rnacentral:misc_RNA from 1 species
UCUCCUCCUCCGCAAGCCCGGUGGUGUGCUCGCUGUAUGGUGCUACACCGUGCCUCGUGUGGACGAGGCAGUGGACCGCGUGUUUGAUCGCCUUUACACCGAAUCUCGGCCAUUCUGGGAGGAGCGAAGAUGGUUGGUGGACGGUGAGUACAGAAGUGUGGACUUCCCGUUUGAUCCUGUUGAGGGUGCUGAAGGGACUGGACCAUUUAGGUUUGUUUCGGAGAAGGAGAUGGAUAUGGAGAAGUUUAUAACGUAUAUAAAGUCGUGGUCGUCGUAUGAGACGGCAUUGGAGAGG